UGACCACCAAAAAAAAUUAAGAACUUUUUUUUUGAUUUUCUUUCUCUCUCUCAAAGGCCCUCUCUUAGAUCUAUAUCUAAUGUGGAAUAGGGGUGUGGAAAGGAGAGAACAGGAAUGAGAUGGCGUGGAAAAGGAAAGGGGCGGAAGGUUGUUAGCGCACAAAACACAUGAUGAUUCUUCUCAUGCCAAAAACCAACCCCCUUUUAUAAUUUUAUCGCACAAAAGUACCUUCUUUUUC
rnacentral:lncRNA from 1 species